rnacentral:rRNA from 1 species
AGUGAACGCUGGCGGUAGGCCUAACACAUGCAAGUCGAGCGGCAGCACAGUAAGAGCUUGCUCUUACGGGUGGCGAGUGGCGGACGGGUGAGGAAUACAUCGGCAUCUACUUUUUCGUGGGUGAUAACGUAGGGAAACUUACGCUAAUACCGCAUACGACCUACGGGUGAAAGCAGGGGAUCUUCGGACCUUUCGCGAUUGAAUGAGCCGAUGUCGGAUUAGCUAGUUGGCGGGGUAAAGGCCCACCAAGGCGACGAUCCGUAGCUGGUCUGAGAGGAUGAUCAGCCACACUGGAACUGAGACACGGUCCAGACUCCUACGGGAGGCAGCAGUGGGGAAUAUUGGACAAUGGGCGCAAGCCUGAUCCGGCAAUACCGCGUGGGUGAAGAAGGCCUUCGGGUUGUAAAGCCCUUUUGUUGGGAAAGAAAAGCAGCAGGUUAAUACCCCGCUGUUCUGACGGUACCCAAAGAAUAAGCACCGGCUAACUUCGUG